rnacentral:rRNA from 1 species
GAUGAACGCUGGCGGCGUGCCUAAUACAUGCAAGUCGAGCGAACGGACGAGAAGCUUGCUUCUCUGAUGUUAGCGGCGGACGGGUGAGUAACACGUGGAUAACCUACCUAUAAGACUGGGAUAACUUCGGGAAACCGGAGCUAAUACCGGAUAAUAUUUUGAACCGCAUGGUUCAAAAGUGAAAGACGGUCUUGCUGUCACUUAUAGAUGGAUCCGCGCUGCAUUAGCUAGUUGGUAAGGUAACGGCUUACCAAGGCAACGAUGCAUAGCCGACCUGAGAGGGUGAUCGGCCACACUGGAACUGAGACACGGUCCAGACUCCUACGGGAGGCAGCAGUAGGGAAUCUUGCGCAAUGGGCGAAAGCCUGAUGCAGCAAUGCCGCGUGUGUGAUGAAGGUCUUCGGAUUGUAAAGCUCUGUAAGUUGGGAAGAACAGAUGUAUGAGAAAACGUGGCCGUUUUGACGGUACCUAAAGAGAAAGCCACGGCUAACUUCGUG